AACGAACGCUGGCGGCAGGCUUAACACAUGCAAGUCGAACGCACCUUUCGGGGUUAGUGGCAGACGGGUGAGUAACGCGUGGGAAUCUACCCUUCUCUACGGGAUAGCUCCGGGAAACUGGAAUUAAUACCGUAUACGUCCUGAGGGAGAAAGAUUUAUCGGGGAAGGAUGAGCCCGCGUUGGAUUAGCUAGUUGGUGGGGUAAAGGCAUACCAAGGCGACGAUCCAUAGCUGGUCUAAGAGGAUGAUCAGCCACAUUGGGACUGAGACACGGCCCAAACUCCUACGAGAGGCAGCAGUGGGGAAUAUUGGACAAUGGGCGCAAGCCUGAUCCAGCCAUGCCGCGUGAGUGAUGAAGGCCCUAGGGUUGUAAAGCUCUUUCAGUGGGGACGAUAAUGACGGUACCCACAGAAGAAGCCCCGGCUAACUUCGUG
rnacentral:rRNA from 1 species